AACGAACGCUGGCGGCAUGCCUAACACAUGCAAGUCGAACGAGACCUUCGGGUCUAGUGGCGCACGGGUGCGUAACGCGUGGGAACCUGCCCUUAGGUUCGGAAUAACUCCCCGAAAGGGGUACUAAUACCGGAUAAUGUCUUCGGACCAAAGAUUUAUCGCCUUUGGAUGGGCCCGCGUUGGAUUAGCUAGUUGGUAGGGUAAAAGCCUACCAAGGCGACGAUCCAUAGCUGGUCUGAGAGGAUGAUCAGCCACACUGGGACUGAGACACGGCCCAGACUCCUACGGGAGGCAGGAGUGGGGAAUAUUGGAAAGUGGGCGAAAGCCUGAUCCAGCAAUGCCGCGUGAGUGAUGAAGGCCUUAGGGUUGUAAAGCUCUUUUACCCGGGAUGAUAAUGACAGUACCGGGAGAAUAAGCUCCGGCUAACUCCGUG
rnacentral:rRNA from 1 species